CAAGAAAAAUGGUUUCCCGCCCAGUGGAUGCUUCUGUGAAUACACAAAAGUUUUGUAUGAAAGGUUAAAGCGGUUGUUUGGCACUGAAUGUAACUACCAAGGAAAAAGUAAUGCUAAGCAAAUUUAAUGAUGCAUAUAUAAUUGGGACAAUUGCAACAUUUGCAAUGUUUUGCCAAAGCGAAAUUGUAUCUUUCGUUUGCGUAUAAGGAAUGUGCCUCGUCAAAUUAUCAUCCAUCCCAGCUGAACAAAUACUGUCAAAGAUUUCAAAAAAUACCGUGAAGCAUUUGCUUUAUUAACGAUGUUACUCAAUAAAAAGAUAUUCAUUUGUGGCAUAACAAGUUCUCAAUUCGAUUCCAAGUACAUGGAGAGCGUAUGUUGAAAUUAAUAAAUCUAAAAUGGGUGAUUAAGGAAGGAUUACUGUGCAUCUUUGAAAGUCAUUCAAUUCCUUAAUUAAAAACGACCAAUAUGCUGCGGGUUCACCCUUAACAUCAUGGUUUUAACCCAACCGACAUCAUGGGUAGUAAAAAUAAGUAAAACCAUAUUCAUAUUCUUUCUUAAUUUUCUCNAUUU
rnacentral:sRNA from 1 species